CCUACGGGUGGCAGCAGUAGGGAAUCUUCCACAUUGGGCGAAAGCCUGAUGGAGCAACGCCGCGUGGGUGAAGAAGGUCUUCGGAUCGUCAAACCCUGUUGUUAGAGAAGAAAGAGCGUGCGAGUAACUGUUCACGUUUCGACGGUAUCUAACCAGAAAGCCAAGGCUAACUACGUGCCAGCAGCCGCGGUAAUACGUAGGUGUCCAGCGUUAUCCGGUUUUAUUGGGCGUAACGGGAACGCAGGCGGUCUUUUAAGUCUGAUGGUAAAGCCUUCGAGUUAACCGGAGUAGUGCAUUGGAAACUGGGAGACUUGAGUGAAUAAGAGGAGAGUGGAACUCCAGGGGUAGCGGUGAAAUGCGUAGAUAUAUGGAAGAACACCAGUGGCGAAAGCGGCUCUCUGGUCUGUAACUGACGCUGAGGUUCGAAAGCGUGGGUAGCAAACAGGAUUAGAUACCCCAGUAGUC
rnacentral:rRNA from 1 species